CACUCGGUAGCACAUGGUGUGCACCUGCUUCACCUAUUCAGAAUUUUUCACGGUUAUGCAGGAGGCUCUCGGUUCAAUUCUGGGUCGGGUGA